rnacentral:misc_RNA from 1 species
UGCGGGAGAGUAGGUUAUUGCCAGGGUUUUUAUUUUUAUACUUUAAACUUUGAUUUUAUUUUUAUGUUUUUUAAAUAUUGGUGUUUUUGAAUGUGUUGUUUAAAUAACAUAAAAAAUAAAAUAUAUAUUGACAUGUAUUAAACAAAGAUAUAUAUUAUUUUAUGUUGUAUAAAUAAAUUGGCAAAAUAGAGAUGGAAGAUAAAAAUAUGGUCAAAGUAAUAAGAGUCUAUGGUGAAUGCCUAGAAA